CUACGGGGGGCUGCAGUGGGGAAUAUUGCACAAUGGGCGAAAGCCUGAUGCAGCAACGCCGCGUGAGGGACGACGGCCUUCGGGUUGUAAACCUCUUUUAGCAGGGAAGAAGCGAAAGUGACGGUACCUGCAGAAAAAGCACCGGCUAACUACGUGCCAGCAGCCGCGGUAAUACGUAGGGUGCAAGCGUUGUCCGGAAUUAUUGGGCGUAAAGAGCUCGUAGGCGGUUUGUCGCGUCUGCUGUGAAAAUCCGAGGCUCAACCUCGGACCUGCAGUGGGUACGGGCAAACUAGAGUGCGGUAGGGGAGAUUGGAAUUCCUGGUGUAGCGGUGGAAUGCGCAGAUAUCAGGAGGAACACCAAUGGCGAAGGCAGAUCUCUGGGCCGUAACUGACGCUGAGGAGCGAAAGCGUGGGGAGCGAACAGGAUUAGAUACCCGGGUAGUC
rnacentral:rRNA from 1 species